rnacentral:rRNA from 1 species
AGUGAACGCUGGCGGUAGGCCUAACACAUGCAAGUCGAACGGCAGCACAGUAAGAGCUUGCUCUUACGGGUGGCGAGUGGCGGACGGGUGAGGAAUACAUCGGAAUCUACUUUUUCGUGGGGGAUAACGUAGGGAAACUUACGCUAAUACCGCAUACAACCUACGGGUGAAAGCAGGGGAUCUUCGGACCUUGCGCGAUUGAAUGAGCCGAUGUCGGAUUAGCUAGUUGGCGGGGUAAAGGCCCACCAAGGCGACGAUCCGUAGCUGGUCUGAGAGGAUGAUCAGCCACACUGGAACUGAGACACGGUCCAGACUCCUACGGGAGGCAGCAGUGGGGAAUAUUGGACAAUGGGCGCAAGCCUGAUCCAGCCAUACCGCGUGGGUGAAGAAGGCCUUCGGGUUGUAAAGCCCUUUUGUUGGGAAAGAAAAGCAGCAGGUUAAUACCCCGCUGUCCUGACGGUACCCAAAGAAUAAGCACCGGCUAACUUCGUG